GACAUCAUGGUGUAGUGGAAUCAUCGUCUGUCUCACACACAGGAGGUCCCCAGAUCGAAACUGGGUGAUGUCA
rnacentral:tRNA from 1 species